ACGGGAGGCAGCAGUGGGGAAUAUUGGGCAAUGGGGGAAACCCUGACCCAGCAACGCCGCGUGAAGGAAGAAGGCUUUCGGGUUGUAAACUUCUUUUAUCAGGGAAGAUAAUGACGGUACCUGAUGAAUAAGCCACGGCUAACUACGUGCCAGCAGCCGCGGUAAUACGUAGGUGGCAAGCGUUGUCCGGAUUUACUGGGUGUAAAGGGCGCGUAGGCGGAGCGGCAAGUCAGAUGUGAAAUCUAUGGGCUUAACCCAUAAACUGCAUUUGAAACUGUUCUUCUUGAGUGCUGGAGGGGCAAUCGGAAUUCCUUGUGUAGCGGUGAAAUGCGUAGAUAUAAGGAGGAACACCAGUGGCGAAGGCGGAUUGCUGGACAGUAACUGACGGUGAGGCGCGAAAGUGUGGGGAGCAAACAGGAUUAGAUACCCUGGUA
rnacentral:rRNA from 1 species